CGAAAACAGUAAAAAAAAAAAUGGAAAACAUUCAAAAAAAAAAAAAUCGAAACGGAGUUAAAAGAUAAUUUAUGAGCCACAUUUUCCAGGUGCAUAAAUCCUUGAAAAACCAAACCAACACUGACAAUUCCUCCACAGAGUAAAAGUAGGGUUUUUCUUCCAUGGAUCGUCUUCGACCCAGAGAAAGAAAGGUCUUUUCUGGCUUCACAGAUCCUGAAAUUGAGAAGCUGGAAAUCUUAUUUACAGAACAUAGAGAAUUGUCACUUAACCGACAUUUUUGUGUAAGAGUUGCACAAAGUUUCAGUCGCUCUGCUGGACGGGCUGGGAAACCUGUAGUUAAGUGGCCUGAGGUGCAAAGUUGGUUCCGCGACAGACAGAAAAUGGGUCCAGCUAAAGCAAAUACUCCAUCAAUCAAUCAAAAAAAGAUUACUCUUCCCAGUGUAUCUAAAAAUGCGGCUGCUCUACCAGAUGCUUCUGACAAAAAGAAGGUUGAUGAAACCAACCAGGUGUUUGAAGGAGAGAAGUUGCCGGAUCUAUCGGAGUUGGAGUUUGAGGCUAAGUCAUCUAGGGAUGGAGCUUGGUACGAUGUUGAUAGAUUCAUCACACACAGAAUUAUCACCUCAGGCGAAGCUGAAGUUCUAGUGAGAUUUUUUGGGUUUGGAUCUGACGAAGACGAGUGGGUUAAUGUGAAAAAUGACGUGCGAGAGCGUUCAAUCCCGCUAGAUAACUGGGAAUGUCAAAAAGUCAAACCUGGGGAUGACAUGCUCUGCCUUCUGUCUUCUACCGUUUGUUGCAGGAACGAAAAGAUCAGGCUAUAUAUUAUGAUGCACAUAUUUUGGAUGUUCAGCGGAAAAUGCAUGAUAUAAGGGGAUGUAGGUGCAUUUUUUUGAUUCAGUAUGACCACGAUAAGAGUGAGGAAAAGGUUCGUUUACGGAGAUUAUGUCGAAGGGCAUGACAAAGAAGAGCAGGAAAUGAUAUUUGCUGUGAUCCAGAGUUUUUUGUUUGUGGUUGAAAAUUAUGAAAUAGUGGGGUGAUGUACACAUUUUAAGAACCAAAUUUUGUUAAGCUUUGAUUGUGUGAUCCAUUUUGAUUGCCAUUAGGUUUCUACCACCAUUAUAGUAGGAAAGUAGCAUUAAAAGUUAAGAGAUUCAACUCAACCCAUUGUAUAUUUUUGGUCCCAUUUUAACUCUUAAGACAAUGAAUAGUAAAAUCUUUGGUUGUUCUA